rnacentral:rRNA from 1 species
UACGAGGGGGGCGAGCGUUGUUCGGAAUUAUUGGGCGUAAAGGGCGCGUAGGCGGUCGGAUAAGUCUUGUGUGAAAUCUUCGGGCUCAACUCGAAGUCUGCACAGGAAACUAUCUGGCUUGAGUGUGGGAGAGGUGAGUGGAGUUCCUGGUGUAGCGGUGAAAUGCGUAGAUAUCAGGAGGAACACCUGUGGCGAAAGCGGCUCACUGGACCACAACUGACGCUGAGGCGCGAAAGCUAGGGGAGCAAACAGG